UACGGGGGGGGCAAGCGUUGUUCGGAAUUACUGGGCGUAAAGGGUUCGUAGGUGGCCAACUAAGUCAGACGUGAAAUCCCUCAGCUUAACUGGGGAACUGCGUCUGAGACUGGAUGGCUUGAGUGCAGGAGAGGAACGCGGAAUUCCAGGUGUAGCGGUGAAAUGCGUAGAUAUCUGGAGGAACACCGGUGGCGAAGGCGGGUUGCUGGGCCGACACUGACGCUGAUGCGCGAAAGCCAGGGGAGCGAACGGG
rnacentral:rRNA from 1 species